CAGUGGGAAGAUUAAAUGAGGUAAUUCAUAUAAAGCACUUAAUAGAGUGAUUAGAAAAUCUGAAGUGUUUAAUAAUAGUUAAUGAGUUUUAGUUACCAUUAUGGGUAUUGAUUUGUUUUCUCUCUUAUUACAGAUACAAAGGUGGUCAGUAAGGAAACUCAACUUAAACAAAGAUGGCAUUGAGCAUGUAAAUGAAGAUAUGUGCUUAAUAGUAAAAGUAAAAUUAUCCUUUCCAUAAAGAACAUGAAAUUACAAAUCUAUGGAGAGAAGAAGUUCUUGAUCUGGAUCCUUCAUCUUUUGGAGAUUUGCCCCCUGCACUUGUGGAUCCAGUUUGGGGAGGUCCAGUUUGGCUCUUUGAUAAUGUCUCUGGAGCUUGAAAUGAUUUCCAGUGGUGAAGGCCCGUCAUGACCCAUGUACCUCAUAUGAGCUCUCUAGGUUAGACAACUGGCAAGAUAAAAAUGAACAUGAAAUGUUGAAAACAACCAAGAGAAAGCUAUAACCAUUGUUCACUGUCUUUCCCUUCAAUACAAUACAAUAAAAGGAGAUUCCAUAAAAUCA
rnacentral:lncRNA from 1 species